CCUACGGGCGGCAGCAGUGAGGAAUAUUGGUCAAUGGACGAGAGUCUGAACCAGCCAAGUAGCGUGAAGGAUGACUGCCCUAUGGGUUGUAAACUUCUUUUAUAUGGGAAUAAAAUGUUUCACGUGUGGGAUUUUGUAUGUACCAUAUGAAUAAGGACCGGCUAACUCCGUGCCAGCAGCCGCGGUAAUACGGAGGGUCCGAGCGUUAUCCGGAUUUAUUGGGUUUAAAGGGAGCGUAGGUGGAUUGUUAAGUCAGUUGUGAAAGUUUGCGGCUCAACCGGAGAAUUGCAGUUGAAACUGGCAGUCUUGAGUACAGGAGAGGUGAGCGGAAUUCGUGGUGUAGCGGUGAAAUGCUUAGAUAUCACGAAGAACUCCGAUUGCGAAGGCAGUUCACUGGACUGCAACUGACACUGAGGCUCGAAAGUGUGGGUAUCAAACAGGAUUAGAUACCCUUGUAGUC
rnacentral:rRNA from 1 species